rnacentral:rRNA from 1 species
GACGAACGCUGGCGGCGUGCUUAACACAUGCAAGUCGAGCGGUAAGGCCCUUUCGGGGGUACACGAGCGGCGAACGGGUGAGUAACACGUGGGUGACCUGCCCUCAGCUCUGGGAUAAGCCUGGGAAACCGGGUCUAAUACCGGAUAUGACUCCAUGACGCAUGUUGUGGGGUGGAAAGCCUUGUGCGGCUGAGGAUGGGCCCGCGGCCUAUCAGCUUGUUGGUGGGGUGAUGGCCUACCAAGGCGACGACGGGUAGCCGGCCUGAGAGGGCGACCGGCCACACUGGGACUGAGACACGGCCCAGACUCCUACGGGGGGCAGCAGUGGGGAAUCUUGCGCAAUGGGCGAAAGCCUGACGCAGCGACGCCGCGUGAGGGAUGACGGCCUGUGU